UGCGCAGGCGGAACUUUAAGUCAGUGGUGAAAUCUUGCCGCUUAACGGUAAAAUUGCCAUUGAUACUGAAGUUCUUGAAUAUGGUUGAGGUAGGCGGAAUGUGUUGUGUAGCGGUGAAAUGCAUAGAUAUGACACAGAACUCCGAUUGCGAAGGCAGCUUACUAAGCCAUUAUUGACGCUGAGGCACGAAAGCGUGGGGAGCGAACAGGAUUAGAUACCCUGGUAGUCC
rnacentral:rRNA from 1 species